GGGGGGGGGGGGGGGGAGGCUUCCUGACCUGUCACUAGGAGGGGUACUCCUUACAGAUCUGAGACUACGGCAGUUCAUCCAGAGGUGAACAUAGAGAUAUGAGCAUCGAGGAGGUAGUUGUUGAUGGAGGUAGUGAGGUCGGAUUAUAGGUUAAUUGAGAAUUUUGGGGUAUCGCAUCUUAUGUAACAGUGAGGAACUUGAAGCAAUGGUGAAGGACCUACCAUAUUCCUGGCUCAGUAGCGUUUCUCACUCUCUUACCUAACCAACAGGCUUACGACUCUUUGAUGGAUGGGGUUAUCCUUAACCUUUCUUUGCUGUCUUCUAGCCUAAGUUACCAUUUUUCCCUACCAUCCAUAAAUUUUCGCAUGCUUGGCGUAUUGUACCUGCUCAACUCCGUCUCAAUGGUUGGAGGGCUUUCUUUAGUUGUAUGUUGCUAUGAAAUAGUUUAGGUUCCCUGAGCUGACUAUUGAGGAGUUCAAUGCCUUGCAUAACUUCAAAGAGGAUGGAAAAGAUUCGGGUUGGUACUAUCCCAGCAUGUAUCCAAACCAGAGAGGUCUAGUGGUUUGGAUAGCACUUCUACUACUAAGAAGUGGAAUGAAGAGUUUUUUUUCAUCCAUGGUGAUUGGCAGCUCCACUCAUCUGAAGUGGAAAGGGAUGUAGUGGUUCACAUUUGUUACCUAAAAAUGAGUAAGUUGGAUUUUUUACCUUAUUUUUGUGAUAAAAGGGGUGGUUUUGAUUGCUUAUAUACCAACAACAUGCCAUCGAGCCACCAUUACUCCUAACCUGAGAGUCUUUUUGCGAUCGACAUUCCCUCUACCCUAGGUAAGAGUUGAAUUUUGUUGAAAUUUCAGCCUUUAUGUAUUUCAACAAAUCUACGUUUCUGUCUUUCAAAGUCAAAUGUUGAGAUAAGGUCUUUUAGUGCGAUGUGCCAAAGUUAUAAUCCCCAAGAGGGUAGAAGAAGAGGCCGAACACUCAAGCAGAAGCUCGUUUAGCUUGUCAUUCCAUGGUGAGCUCAUACGAAGGUAAGCUUCCACAAACUCAGUAACCUUUAUCUUCUCCAGCUGGGUUGAGCAUAUUCGCCCAAUUCUUUUCUAGUCCCUUGUGAUUUUUCCUCUAAUUUGUUCUCCAACUACUUCUCCAGCUGCCUCUUAUCCAGACUUUCCAAUGCCAAACUUAGAUGGUUUGGUUGGUACUUGUUUUAAGGCUUUGUUCAAUUUUUACAAAGCUCCUUCACCUGCUAGGGCUUUCACAUCAACUUUUCCUCCACCACUUUGAAACUUAAUUCGUUUUAUUACUAGGAAUUGGAAUGAUCGUUGCUAGAGAUAUUUGGCUCAAAUGAGUGCAAGGAAGUCCUUCAUUAUUGCUAGUAUCCAUGCUCAAAGGUCAAUACUUUAUUUAUUGGUGGUUUCAGAUAAGGUGGAACUUUCUUCUUUCGUGCUUUCUUGAUUAUUGAAUGAUAUUCUAAGCUUAUUUUCUUCUACGUCCUAUUAUAGGUAAAGGCUGAGGUAGAGGCCAUUGAAAAUAUAAGGGAAGAAGCUACUAAAGUGAACCAAUUUAAGAAGGAAAAGGCUCGUUUGGAAGAGGUUGAAGUGAAGUGGAAUGAGGAGAGGUCUGCUCUGACUACAUUAUUGGAAGGUGAGGCUGCUGCUAGGUCCUAGUUAGAGUAGAAGGUGGAAGAAGUCACGGUAAAGGAGGGCCGCCUCAAAAAGGAGUUGGAGCAAACAUAUUAGAAAAAUGGCUGAAGAGGUGAAGAAAAUCAAAAUGGAGAAACAUUGAGUGAUCUAACAGCUAGGAUGACUUUAGCUAUGGAUGGAUGGAAGGCUUUCCCUAAGGGUUAAGCUUAUAAUCAAGAGGUAUAUAUGGUAGCCAUCCAUUAGCUAAUUAGUUUUAUGGAGACGAAAGUUCCAGACUUGGACAUCAUCUUUCUUUGUGAAGCUUUAUCUCGUUCGGAGGCAAUUCUGGUUGACAUGACUGGGCUGGCUCCCGGGGCUCAAGAAGAUGAUGAAGUUGCUUCAGAGUAGCGCAACCUUCAGCUAUUUAGAGGGUUUAGAUCCCUUUACAAUCUUUACCUUAUUUUAGCAUCUUCUUUUUGAGGAAAAAACACUUUUAUAACAUUUUUGAAGUUUUUGUAUGAUUUUGAUGCUUCGAUGUUGUUCAAGGAAUUAUUUAAGUUUUUGUUAUAAAAGGUAGUUUGGCUGAGUACACAAAUUGUUUAUGACUGAA